CCAUCGUUGAAGCGAACGAGAGAGAAGGAGACGUGGAAGGAGGAGCCGUUGAAGCGAGCUUGCUGCCGUCACGUCCUGCCUAGCCACCGUCAUCGAAGCCUUACUGCCGUUGAUUGAGGAUGUUAUCAUGGAGCUCAAGGAUAACGCGUAGAAGUUAAGUGGAGUUGUCCUUCCAUUGCUGAAAUCAUGCUUCGAUUUCUGCCCUGUACUACCUGGAUCCAUUCACCAUUUUGCCCGCCUCUGUUCCAGUGGAGUUUGCUGUUCUUCAUGUUGCAGUUCCAAACCCCAUUUGAUUCUAGCUUUGGUUCUGUUUCGAGCUGCGUUGCCAUCUGGGUAGUCACCAACCACAGCUGCCGUUGCUGGAGCUCACCGGAGCUGCUGCUAUGCCGUUCCUUCUUUUAUUCUUAACUUCAAGUUGCUGGAGUUAAAGCUGCAAUUGAUUUUGGGGCUGAGGGAAAGGGUUUCUGGUGACAGAUUUAAUUUAUGGAUUCGACUUUUCGAGGUAGGGGCGUUUUCAUUAAACUUAUUUUUAUUCUUAAGAGUUGUUAUAAAUUGAUAUUUAAGCAAAUAAUUAUUUUUAGUGAUUAUGGAGUCUUACGAAUUGAACUGAAUUGCUUUGAAUGAAU